rnacentral:rRNA from 1 species
AGAGUUUGAUCAUGGCUCAGGACGAACGCUGGCGGCGUGCUUAACACAUGCAAGUCGAGCGAGGCCCGCCUUUCGAGGUGGUGCCCUAGCGGCGAACGGGUGAGUAACACGUGGGCAAUCUGCCCUCAGCUUUGGGAUAAGCCUCGGAAACGGGGUCUAAUACCGGAUAGGACCUUUCACCGCAUGGUGGGGGGUGGAAAGAUUUAUCGGCUGAGGAUGGGCCCGCGGCCUAUCAGCUUGUUGGUGGGGUGAUGGCCUACCAAGGCGACGACGGGUAGCCGGCCUGAGAGGGCGACCGGCCACACUGGGACUGAGACACGGCCCAGACUCCUACGGGAGGCAGCAGUGGGGAAUAUUGCACAAUGGGCGGAAGCCUGAUGCAGCGACGCCGCGUGAGGGAUGACGGCCUUCGGGUUGUAAACCUCUUUCAGCAGGGACGAAGCGAAAGUGACGGUACCUGCAGAAGAAGCACCGGCCAACUACGUGCCAGCAGCCGCGGUAAUACGUAGGGUGCAAGCGUUGUCCGGAAUUAUUGGGCGUAAAGAGCUCGUAGGCGGUUUGUCACGUCGGCUGUGAAAACCUGGGGCUCAACCCCGGGCCUGCAGCCGAUACGGGCUGACUAGAAUUCGGUAGGGGAGUCUGGAAUUCCUGGUGUAGCGGUGAAAUGCGCGAUAUCAGGAGGAACACCGGUGGCGAAGGCGGGACUCUGGGCCGAUAUUGACGCUGAGGAGCGAAAGCGUGGGGAGCGAACAGGAUUAGAUACCCUAGUAGUCC